rnacentral:rRNA from 1 species
AUUGAACGCUGGCGGCAGGCUUAACACAUGCAAGUCGAGCGGGCGAGGUUGCUUCGGUAACUGAGCUAGCGGCGGACGGGUGAGUAAUGCUUAGGAAUCUGCCUAUUAGUGGGGGACAACAUUCCGAAAGGAAUGCUAAUACCGCAUACGCCCUACGGGGGAAAGCAGGGGACCUUCGGGCCUUGCGCUAUCAGAUGAGCCUAGGUCGGAUUAGCUAGUUGGUGAGGUAAUGGCUCACCAAGGCGACGAUCCGUAACUGGUCUGAGAGGAUGAUCAGUCACACUGGAACUGAGACACGGUCCAGACUCCUACGGGAGGCAGCAGUGGGGAAUAUUGGACAAUGGGCGAAAGCCUGAUCCAGCCAUGCCGCGUGUGUGAAGAAGGUCUUCGGAUUGUAAAGCACUUUAAGUUGGGAGGAAGGGCAGUAAGUUAAUACCUUGCUGUUUUGACGUUACCAACAGAAUAAGCACCGGCUAACUUCGUGCCAGCCGCCGCGGUAAAAC